rnacentral:lncRNA from 10 species
GUCCGAUUAAGCUGUGAGGGCCCUAGUACCUUAAAGGCCUGUCUACUGUGGUACCAGAGUGAUUAUUUCUGUCUUAUCUCCUUUACAGCUUGGUCUGGAGAGCUGCCUCAGACUCUCCAAUGGAUCUAUUCAAACAGCUGCCUCUGUUACCUUGACUCGUCUCAGAUUUCGUCGAACUGAGACAGGUCCUGGCACUAGGAAUGGGAUCAUCUUCAUGCUGAGUCUUGGACACCAACCUGAAUUCUCCUACAGAGAAACUGGACAUCUGCUCUUGAUGGGGUGUAGUGGAUAAGGCAUAGCACCUGUGAUCAGGAGAUCUAGAUCUGAGUCUCAGUUGUGACACUUUUUUCUGUGUUACCUUGGGAAAGUUAUUUACCCUCUCUGAGCCUCAAUUUCCUCACUAAAAGGGGAUCAUGGUACCAACAUGUGUUAAAAGAGUAUUAAAUGAGAUAAUAAGUACUUUGUAAACAAUGUGUUUGUAAUUAAUCAUGAAUCUUAGUUUGAUUAUAUGAUUAUAAUUAUGUUUUUUUCCAGUAAUGGAAAGAGGGCAGGGAUAAAAGGCAGUGAGU